CCUACGGGAGGCAGCAGUGAGGAAUAUUGGUCAAUGGACGCAAGUCUGAACCAGCCAUGCCGCGUGCAGGAAGACGGCUCUAUGAGUUGUAAACUGCUUUUGUACGGGGGUAAACGCAGAUACGCGUAUCUUUCUGCACGUAUCCUACGAAUAAGGAUCGGCUAACUCCGUGCCAGCAGCCGCGGUAAUACGGAGGAUUCAAGCGUUAUCCGGAUUUAUUGGGUUUAAAGGGUGCGUAGGCGGUCAGGUAAGUUAGCGGUGAAAUCCCGGGGCUCAACUUCGGAAUUGCCUCGGAAACUGUGGGGCUAGAGGGUAGUAGCGGUAGGCGGAAUGUAUGGUGUAGCGGUGAAAUGCUUAGAGAUCAUACAGAACACCGAUUGCGAAGGCAGCUUACCAAACUACAUCUGACGUUGAGGCACGAAAGCGUGGGGAGCAAACAGGAUUAGAUACCCUAGUAGUC
rnacentral:rRNA from 1 species